rnacentral:rRNA from 1 species
AUGCCAGGUGAUAUUGGUGCCUGUAUUACUCCGCCGGACCCAGCUGAUGCGUUGGCGAUUGUUGCCAUUGUGGAAGAGCAACAAACAAAUGAAAACUCGGACUCUAAUCAGCAAGAAGAAAAUAUCAACUCCAACAUCGGCGAUGACAAUGUAAGUGGCUCCGAGAAUGUAAGUAAUUCGUCGGAUGCACAUGCCCAAUCUGCUAGUGUUGAUGAACAACCAGUUUAUACUGCCGAUAUUUAUGAUCCAAAAAACUGGGAUAAUCUUGAUAAUAAAGCAAGAGAUAUCUUAGUUGAGAAAGGGCCUAUCAGAGAGGAAAAAAUGGAAUACCAUGUAGAUGAAACAGGAAGACAUUUUUCGUAUGCUCAUUAUCAUAGAAAAUUAAGCAAU